AUUUGUAAAUGAUAUAAAUUAAGAUCUAGUAAAAUUGAAUUGUUUUCAACAUAGAUGAGAGAUGAGUGAAUGUAGAUUGAGUCAUGAUAUUAUUUGGUUUGGUGACAUAUGUUAUAGUACCAAUUUUGUUUUGGUCUGUGCAGAGUAGUCCGCAGAGGGUUGUAGUUUGAAUACACAUGUCCAUACAUGCCGUUCUAAUGGGCUACUUAGACAUAGUGUGCGUGUUGCGUUCUACUUUGACAUCUACGUGGGUUGCACUUUCCUUGUGGAUUAGUCUGGAUCCUUCCAUAGGCCCAAAGAAAUCUCCAUGUAAACAAAAAAAGAAGAAUUGGUCGGAUUUGAACAUAGGAGAGCAUAUAAUGAUAGUCAAUUCUGAAAGGACGAGGUAUCAUAUAUGUUCAUAUUGUCUUUACCUAUUGUUGACUGACAUUAUGAGUUUUUGGUUUUUAAUAUAACUUAUAAUCUUACGUUUGUUGUUUCAAAUUUCCCAAUACUAAAUAGUCUAUCUACGAUGAUAGUGAAUAGUUUUGUUGUGAAAUUAAGUCACCUGAGCAUAUAUAGAAAUCCAUAGUUCAUGUGGUAACGUAGCUGAUGUUUAGUUUUUUUUUUUGUAUAGCCAUAUUGUUUGUUAGUUAUGCACUAUUUAUUCUGGAAAUCUGAUCAUUUAAGGUGUUAAUAUAAUGUAGUGAUCCGGUCAAUAUUAAAGAAAAUGUGUAACAUUCUGAUAUAUUGUCAUGUAUGUUAAAAGGUUUAAGGAAACUGAUUUGGUUGAUGUGAAAAAAAAAACUGAUUUGGUUAUCUAUGUCAACAAAGUACAUUUAUUAUUUUUGGACACAUAUCUAAAAACAUCUUGAGUUAAGUGUAGUUGAAUUGGAGUAGCCAAAAGAUGUGUAACAUAUCUGGAAGUGAUUCGCAAUAUCAUGCGAGUAAUACCAAAGCACGGAAAAAGAUCACAGGAUAAUUGCAUAGUCAAUAAACAACUACUUCGAAUCUCUGGAAAUUACACACCGACCGUCGCACGGAGUGGACCUAUGGGCCAAGUGAACAUGCAUAGGAGGCCAAAUAACCGUGGGCGGCUAGGGUGUUACAAGUGGUAUCAAAACCGAAGAAGACGAGUGUGGAAUCAUGUGUGGGCACACAUCAACAUUAGUGACAAUCUUGGGGUGCAACAAAAAGAAAUUGUGUUUUUGUGAGAGGGGAAAAUGUAAUAUUCUAGUCUGUGGUAUGUGGUAGUGUAUGUUGAAAUUCUUAAAAUAACGGAUUUAACUAUCUAUUUCAACAAGAUGCACUGAUCUUUUCGGCUAUACAUCCAUAGAAAACUUCAGAGUUAAACAUAUGCUUGAGCUAGAAAUAAUCAAAUGAUGUGUGACUUAGUAAUUUGCAAUAUCGUGGUGAUUGCAGAAUCAGUAAGCAAAUAUUUUUUUCUUCCAAAAUUAACGCACUGUCCAUUGCAUAGAGUGAACCCAAAAACCGAGUUAAGCGUUGAGGUCUAUUAGCCUUAUGUAAUCAGGAAAUUACAAAAUGUUACAUAUAAUAUGUUCUAUUGUUUGGUGGGUAUGCUACUUGAGAGCUGGUGGUAGUUUUCCCAAUCCUUUAUGAAUAAUGUCCUUCCAACAUCUUUAAAACUCCAUCACGUAUUCACAUCUCUUAAACAAGUUCUUGGGUAAGAAAAUAUAUGGAUUCCAAUGUGAUUAAGUAUAAUUUAUUAAUGAUGUUAAGUUUAAAGCAAUUCAAAAUAGCCCGGGUCAAUUUCUAAUGCUCAAAUAACUUCGUUUCAUGAUUUUGCAAAUAAAUUAAGAAAAAAAUUAAAAGAAUUAUACUAUAUAUUUUUUCUCAAUAAACUAAUAUUCUAAAAAGUAUGGAUUAUUUUUUGAACACAUCUAAAAGAAUAUGGAUAAAACAUUAAUUUUGUUGAAAAGUCUGUCUUCUUCAUGCAAAACAUCACCCUUUAUGAUCAUGAAACAUAGCUAGUUUAUAAAAAAUGUUAUCUGUGAGUAUAUUCUUAGUAAUUAUUGUUAAGUAUAUAUCUUUAUAUAUAAAGUUGAGUUUCCUUUCUUCCUAGGCUGUCCACGUAAGCGGACACGUCACUAAUUCAAGUUUUGAGAAGCCGACACGUGUCCCGGUUGUAUUAAACGCAACACUUCAUUAACUUUGAAAUUUAUGGGCUUUUGUUUUCCGUGUAUAUUUGAAGGUUUUUGGGCUGCUGAUAUAGAUUUUUUCUGGAAGCCCAAUAAGCUAUUGUCUUCAUCUUCUUCUCUUUCACGGAAUAGUUAGGGUUGCCGCUGUUGCUUUAAUCCGACAAUAGAGCUCCUUCUUUGGUGGUAUCCGUCUUCUGCAUCGAUUCGCUUGCAACUCUUCCCAUCCUCUUCUGAGAACGCGCACCAUUAUGAAAUUCGGCUGCAUACAUUCAUUAUCAUUAAAAUUAUAAUUAACUCCAUCUACCCCAUUCAUUCCACGGUUUUACAAUUAAUACGUCCUCCUACCUUCCAGUCGGUGAAUCUGUAUGUAUAUAGGUUAGUUUGCAUCCGUAAAAUUCAUCAGGUCUUUGCUCACAAUCAUUAUUAGCCGAUAAACUCUCGCAUGAGGAUUAACUACGCGGACCAACCAGGAUCCUAUUUCUAUCUCUUAUGCCAAUGCUUCCAAGACGGGUUCAUUCAUCAUGUACCAAUCUCGGUAAAACCAAGCUAGAUUCUUUUUUUUUCUUUUUUUCAUCGUAAUUCAAUUUUUCUUCAUGAUUUUAACACCAUCGUAAGUUACUUAUUGUUAGCAUCAUCUUUAGAUUUUAACUUUAGUAGAGAACUUCCACAAAACAAUUCUUUAUAUAUAAAGUUGAGUUUCCUUUCUUCCUAGGCUGUCCACGUAAGCAGAUACGUCACUAAUUCGAGUUUUGAGAAGCCGACACGUGUCCCGGUUGUAUUAAACGCAACACUUCAUUAACUUUGAAAUUUAUGGGCUUUUGUUUUCCGUGUAUAUUUGAAGGUUUUUGGGCUGCUGAUAUAGAUUUUUUCUGGAAGCCCAAUAAGCUAUUGUCUUCAUCUUCUUCUCUUUCACGGAAUAGUUAGGGUUGCCGCUGUUGCUUUAAUCCGACAAUAGAGCUCCUUCUUUGGUGGUAUCCGUCUUCUGCAUCGAUUCGCUUGCAACUCUUCCCAUCCUCUUCUGAGAACGCGCACCAUUAUGAAAUUCGGCUGCAUACAUUCAUUAUCAUUAAAAUUAUAAUUAACUCCAUCUACCCCAUUCAUUCCACGGUUUUACAAUUAAUACGUCCUCCUACCUUCCAGUCGGUGAAUCUGUAUGUAUAUAGGUUAGUUUGCAUCCGUAAAAUUCAUCAGGUCUUUGCUCACAAUCAUUAUUAGCCGAUAAACUCUCGCAUGAGGAUUAACUACGCGGACCAACCAGGAUCCUAUUUCGAUCUCUUAUGCCAAUGCUUCCAAGACGAGUUCAUUCAUCAUGUACCAAUCUCGGUAUCUCUUUUGUACUGGAAACAACAUCUGCAACAACAAAUAACUGUGAUUGGUGAGUCUCUAUUGGAGGAUUACAGCAUUUUAAAGAUUCUAAAGUGUCAGUGAUUCACACUCAACUUACUUUUUCAAGAACAAUUAAUCUCGAGGAAGCUGCUCAGAUUCUGGAUAGCAUGAAACGUUAAAUGUGGUGAGAGUAUAAUAUUUGCUGGGGAUUUUCCGUGGAAUCUGCAGUGGUCGUGUUACUGAUGUUGUAGCUCUGAAUCAGCCUACAAACAAGAAAUUUGGCAUGAAUACAUUAUUUCUGUAGUUUUCUGAUUUUUCCGUAUCUACCUUUCAACAAUUUUUUUAUUUGAUUAUCUUGUCCAAUUGGGUUAAGAACUUAAGAAUCAUAAUAUUAC